UACGUAGGUGGCAAGCGUUGUCCGGAUUUACUGGGUGUAAAGGGCGUGUAGCCGGGCUGACAAGUCAGAUGUGAAAUUCCGGGGCUCAACCCCGGACCUGCAUUUGAAACUGUUGGUCUUGAGUAUCGGAGAGGCAGGCGGAAUUCCUAGUGUAGCGGUGAAAUGCGUAGAUAUUAGGAGGAACACCGGUGGCGAAAGCGGCUCUCUGGUCUGUAACUGACGCUGAGGCUCGAAAGCGUGGGUAGCGAACAGG
rnacentral:rRNA from 1 species